GGGACGUCUCUUGUGGACAGGUGUCCAAAAAUGAGUGGGGAGGAGAGGUUUGGUGUUUCAACGCUUUCGGUUCCUCUCUCUCCUGAUUCCUCUCCUCUUUCGGCUUCUCUUCGCAAGUCAUCUUGACUCUCCCUUACAGAUUCCGAAUCAGCAUCCAUGGAAGAGAUAACAGACGGAGUGAACAACAUGAACUUGGCCGUUGAUUCCCAGAAGAAGAACCGGAUUCAAGUUUCCAACACCAAGAAACCAUUGUUCUUCUACGUCAACCUCGCCAAGAAGUCGGUGGAACCAGAUGGUGAAUCAUAUCGGAUUACCUGGAAGCAAAACGUUUGCAGAACAAGUUGAGAUUUUGUCUCAAAGGUAUUGCCCUGACAUAGCUGAAGACAUAGAAGAUUUUGACAACAGACCUUUUGAUCCUGAAGAUUAAUCAAGUCUAGUAAGAGAGUUUUUUGUUCCUUUUUUGUGUUCUACUUUAAGGUCAACUUAUGUUUUGUUAGCUUGAAAAACUAUGUUAAGGUUUUUGAUCGUGUUUAUCUUUUUUUUUUCUUUGUGCAUUAAUGUUUAUCAAUCAUAAGAAUAUCUAGUGGAUAUAUCCAUAAAUUAUUUGUGUUCUAGAUAUGUCGCAAGAGUCCAGCAUUGAUGUUGCAGUAAAAGGAUAUAUGAGUUACGUUACUUGUACUUUGCUUGGCUUGGAAUACAGCUAAUCGUCUUCUAUUAAAAGGCAUCUUCUAGUUCAAAUUCUAUCUAUUGGUUACAGGUCCUGAGGUUUGAGUAACCUUUGAAUCUUGCUGAUCGUUGAAAGAGAGAAGUGGGAUAAAGAUCUUUAAAAACAGAUUGGGUUUCUGCUUUUGUCCAUAAACAAACAAUAAACCAAGCAAAGAAGAUUGAUAAGAUAAGUGGAUAGUAUAAAUGACUAAACAGAUGAACUUUUCGUGAGAUAUCAAAAUUUGAUUCUUUGUUUUUUUGGUCUUGUAGAUUGAAAUUACGCUUGGGAAGUCAGAGAAGUUUGAUGAGCUAAUGACUGCAGCCAAUGAAGAAAAGGAAGAGCAGCAGAAGCUCAGAUACGCUUUGAUGAAAGGAAUCAUUGAGUGAACCGCAAAGGGGAAGAAUAUGCAGACAAAUAAUGUGACAACAACAAUGCAUGGGAAGCAUAAAAAUGGCUGUGGUGGUGGGCAGCACUGAAGAUAUCGUUGGACCCAAAAUAAAUAACAUAUGUCUAACUAGUAUUCUAGAAAAAAAGCCUCUAUCACUAUACAUAAUCAAUUACAUAUUUCUAACUAGUAUCUAGGAACUAACAAUUCUACUCUGUAUUCUGCUCAAUAAUAUAUUCCAUAAUUUUA